AACGGUCUAUACCUGCGGUACCUGCUGAAGGAUCAUUACCGAGUUAUCAACUCCCAAACCCCUGUGAACAUACCCGAACGUUGCCUCGGCGGGACCGCCCCGGCGCCCCUAGCGGCCCGGAACCAGGCGCCCGCCGGAGGACCCAAACUCUUGCUUUAAACAGUGGCAUACUCUCUGAGUCUCACAAACAAAAAAUAAAUCAAAACUUUCAGCAAUGGAUCUCUAGAUCGGAAGAGCACA
rnacentral:misc_RNA from 1 species